GAUUGAAGCAGUUCGACGAGGUACUUGCUCGUUGCCAACUCCUCUUCGUGUUCUUUUCUAGCGGACUGCAUUUCUGUUAUGCACCUUCUCAACUCUUGCUGCAGCUUCUUGUUGUCCUCCUGAAGCGUUUCAACACGGUGUUGUUCCUCGAUUGCUUCCCGCUGGCGCCUCUCAUGUUGAUGCAAUAUUCUCCACUCAGUGAUCUACAUAGUAUUUGGUAAAUCUUUCAUAGAUGAACUCACUUCGCAUCCUGAAUGAUGAAUUCCUAAAAUAAAUAUUUACCGUGUCAAGAGCAGAAAGCAGAUCCAGUUCAGCUUUUUGGCGCUUGUUUGUUUCUUCA